AAUCUUCCUUUAAGUAACCAGGCUUGCUGAAGUCUGACCAAAGGCUGGAGCUCAGAUUGCCAGCGGUCUGUGCUCGGGAGAUGGUCGCAGUGUUGAUAAAGGUGGGGUAGAGGAGGCGAGCACUGAUUCAAGCAGCAGGCUGGAUUCAGGAUGCAAGAAAAUUUAGUCUUUCACGCCUCCAGGAGAGCUAUCCUUCUGAGUCAGAAGCAGGAGAAAAAUCCAGCCCCAGUGUGACUGGAGUUCUGCACAUCUCCAGGAAAUUAAGCUCCAAGGAGGCUAGAGAUGGCAGCUGCAAGACCGUGGCCUGUGAUCGUCUCCGGCCUGGGGGUGUGAACAAAGCCAGUGGAGUGGAUUCUCAGGAGAGCUGUGGGAGAGCCUGGCUGCGGGGGGGACCUGGACAGUGGUCCUCCACAUGGCACUUCCCCCCGGCUUUGAAAACAGCCUCUUCCCCAGGACAGCCGUGUGAGACUGUACAGUCCUACUGGAGAUGCUGACAUCUCUGUUGGAAAACUUCCAUCCCCAUCGCUUGCCUUCAUAAAAGCAUCCAUGAGAUUUUUAUUUUUUUUUUGCAUAAAAAGAGGCUCUUCAAGCUCAUUGCUUAAAUCUCUCAAAGUAAUUACACCAUCAUUAUUCAUUGCAUUGCUUAUUUUGGGCACAGGAGUACAUGCUGUUGGGAGGUCUGUCUGUAUAUCACCCCCAAAGUUGCUGGGUUUCGGUGGAGGCUGGAGGCUAUUUCUGGGUUUGCUGUAACACUUGCCACCUAUUACAAAAGGCACUUGAUAAAGUUGAUUUCAGUAUCCUCAUUGCUUCGUAGUCACAGUACCUAAGUGAUAGGGAAGAGGCAAGUUCAGUUAGUGGAUCAGAUUAAUUAAAUACUUGUGUUAAUUUUUAAUAAGCUGAACAGAAUGUUUUUAUGGGUCGAAGGUCAGGGUUGACUACUAUGGAGUCUUCUCACAGCAGUCCAAAAAAGAAGUACAUAGAAAGUCUGGCAGGCAAACCUGUUGAAAAGCUGGUAUUAAUGCCUGUAGGUGGCAUAAACGCAGCAUGUAAUUGCAGUGCUACAACUCAUCUGCAACAUUCAGUCUGUUUGGCAGCUCAGUAGGUUUGCAGUAAAGCUGAAGCCAGAUUUAUUUUUUUUUUACUUACACCAGAGUGCUUAUUAGAGAAUAU